UACGUAGGUGGCAAGCGUUAUCCGGAAUUAUUGGGCGUAAAGCGCGGGCAGGCGGUUUCUUAAGUCUGAUGUGAAAGCCCACGGCUCAACCGUGGAGGGUCAUUGGAAACUGGGGAACUUGAGUGCAGAAGAGAAAAGCGGAAUUCCACGUGUAGCGGUGAAAUGCGUAGAGAUGUGGAGGAACACCAGUGGCGAAGGCGGCUUUUUGGUCUGUAACUGACGCUGAGGCGCGAAAGCGUGGGGAGCAAACAGG
rnacentral:rRNA from 1 species